GACGAACGCUGGCGGCGUGCUUAACACAUGCAAGUCGAACGGAAAGGCCCUGCUUUUGUGGGGUGCUCGAGUGGCGAACGGGUGAGUAACACGUGAGUAACCUGCCCUUGACUUUGGGAUAACUUCAGGAAACUGGGGCUAAUACCGGAUAGGAGUUCCUGCUGCAUGGUGGGGGUGGGAAAGUUUCGGCGGUUGGGGAUGGACUCGCGGCGUAUCAGCUUGUUGGGGGGGUAGUGGCUUACCAAGGCUUUGACGGGUAGCCGGCCUGGGAGGGUGACCGGCCACAUUAGGACUGAGAUGAGGCCCAGACUCCUACGGGACGCAGCAGUGGGGAAUAGUGCACAAUGGGCGGAAGCCUGGUGCAGCAACGCCGCGUGCGGGAUGACGGCCUUCGGGUUGUAAACCGCUUUCGCCUGUGACGAAGCGUGAGUGACGGUAAUGGGUAAAGAAGCACCGGCUAACUACGUG
rnacentral:rRNA from 1 species